rnacentral:rRNA from 1 species
GACGAACGCUGGCGGCGUGCUUAACACAUGCAAGUCGAACGGAAAGGCCUCUUUCGGGGGGUACUCGAGUGGCGAACGGGUGAGUAACACGUGAGUAACCUGCCCUUGACUUUGGGAUAACUUCAGGAAACUGGGGCUAAUACCGGAUAGGAGCUCCUGCUGCAUGGUGGGGGUUGGAAAGUUUCGGCGGUUGGGGAUGGACUCGCGGCUUAUCAGCUUGUUGGUGGGGUAGUGGCUUACCAAGGCUUUGACGGGUAGCCGGCCUGAGAGGGUGACCGGCCACAUUGGCACUGAGAUACGGCCCAGACUCCUACGGGAGGCAGCAGUGGGGAAUAUUGCACAAUGGGUGGAAGCCUGAUGCAGCAACGCCGUGUGCGGGAUGACGGCCUUCGGGUUGUAAACCGCUUUCGCUCAUGACGAAGCUUUGUGUGACGGUAGUGGGUAAAGAAGCACCGGCUAACUACGUG